rnacentral:rRNA from 1 species
GACGAACCGUGCGAACGUUGUUCGGAUUCACUGGGCUUAAAGGGCGCGUAGGCGGUACGCCAAGUCUGGGGUGAAAUCUUUCGGCUCAACCGGAAAAUUACCUGGGAUACUGGCGUGCUCGAGGGAGGUAGGGGCAGCGGGAACUGCCAGUGGAGCGGUGAAAUGCGUUGAUAUUGGCAGGAACGCCGGUGGCGAAAGCGCGUUGCUGGACCUCUUCUGACGCUGAUGCGCGAAAGCUAGGGGAGCAAACGGG